AUGCGUUGCUGGGUAGGGGAGCGUUCUGUAAGCCUGCGAAGGUGGCCUGUGAGGGUUGCUGGAGGUAUCAGAAGUGCGAAUGCUGACAUAAGUAACGAUAAAGCGGGUGAAAAGCCCGCUCGCCGGAAGACCAAGGGUUCCUGUCCAACGUUAAUCGGGGCAGGGUGAGUCGACCCCUAAGGCGAGGCCGAAAGGCGUAGUCGAUGGGAAACGGGUUAAUAUUCCCGUACUUGGUGUUACUGCGAAGGGGGGACGGAGAAGGCUAUGUUGGCCGGGCGACGGUUGUCCCGGUUUAAGCGUGUAGGUGUGUGUUCCAGGUAAAUCCGGUUCACUUUAACACUGAGGCGUGACGACGAGGCACUACGGUGCUGAAGCAACAAAUGCCCUGCUUCCAGGAAAAGCCUCUAAGCAUCAGGUAACAUCAAAUCGUACCCCAAACCGACACAGGUGGUCAGGUAGAGAAUACCAAGGCGCUUGAGAGAACUCGGGUGAAGGAACUAGGCAAAAUGGUGCCGUAACUUCGGGAGAAGGCACGCUGACAC
rnacentral:rRNA from 1 species